rnacentral:rRNA from 1 species
UAAACCACGAUAGGUCACAAUUUCUGGAAUGGAUCAUGGCUUAAAUCUACAUGGCCCCUGGAUUGGACUGCGGCCGAUCAGGCUGUUGGUGAGGUAAUGGCCCACCAAACCUAUAACCGGUACGGGCUCUGAGAGGAGAAGCCCGGAGAUGGGCACUGAGACAAGGGCCCAGGCCCUAUGGGGCGCAGCAGGCGCGAAACCUCUGCAAUAGGCGAAAGCCUGACAGGGUUACUCUGAGUGAUUUCCGCUAAGGGGAUCUUUUGGCACCUCUAAAAAUGGUGCAGAAUAAGGGGUGGGCAAGUCUGGUGUCAGCCGCCGCGGUAAUACCAGCACCCCGAGUGGUCGGGACGAUUAUUGGGCCUAAAGCAUCCGUAGCCGGUUCUGCAAGUCUUCCGUUAAAUCCAGCCGCUCAACGGAUGGGCCGCGGAGGAUACUACAGGACUAGGAGGCGGGAGAGGCAAGCGGUACUCAGUGGGUAGGGGUAAAAUCCUUUGAUCCACUGAAGACCACCAGUGGCGAAGGCGGCUUGCCAGAACGCGCUCGACGGUGAGGGAUGAAAGCUGGGGGAGCAAACCGGAUUAGAUACCCGGGUAGUCCCAGCUGUAAACGAUGCAGACUCGGUGAUGGGCUAGCCUUGUGCCAGCCCAGUGCCGCAGGGAAGCCGUUAAGUCUGCCGCCUGGGGAGUACGGUCGCAAGACUGAAACUUA